rnacentral:rRNA from 1 species
AUGGCUGGGGAAGGAGGCGACGACAACGCCGAGGCGCCCCUUCGUCCCACCGGCGUCACGCUCCUCCUCGUCGGGAAGAUCGGCAACGGCAAGAGCGCCACCGGCAACAGCUUCCUUGGCGUCACGCUCUCUUGCCAAAUGGAAAGCACCACGCUCAACGAUGGCCGCAUCGUCAAAGUAAUAGACACACCAGCAUGGCAAGACGGGAUACAAGCAGCCCUCGUUGUCUUCUCGGCCACGUCUCGCUUCUCUGAAGAAGAUGCGACGGCGGUUGAGUCCAUAAAGAGGAUGUUUGGUGAGCGCAUGGUCUUGGUUUUCACUCACGGAGACGAGGUAGGGCAGAAUGAAUUCAAGGAGAUGAUGAGUGAUGCUCCGGAGUACAUGAAGGAGAUGAUGAGGUUGUGCCAAGAUAGGGUGAUCCUCUUUGACAAUAGGACCAAUCAUUCAUGGAUUCAAGCAGAACAACGCAAGGUAUUGCUUGAUAAGGUGGACUCUAUUAUGACUCAUCAUCAGGAACAUCCACUUUCAGAGCAAAUUCAGUCUGUCAUUAAGGUAGUCUGUUCAUAA